AAAGUCGUAACAAGGUUUCCGUAGGUGAACCUGCGGAAGGAUCAUUAUCACGUAUCCACGUAUAAACCAUUGUGCACCGUUCUAUUAACCUUUGUGCUCGGAUCAAGAUAGUUGUGCGCUAGACGUUAAGACAGCAAUAGUAAUUGAGCUGUUGUUUAGCGCGCCGCAAUCGGUGUUUCUCUCCGGAGUUCCCGAUCGCACUUGCUGAGUUCACAAAGUGUAUUCAAUUACUACUUAUUAACCAUUUUAACCAAUCUUUAUAACUUUAUGAACUAACUUUAUUUUAUACUCUUCGGAGAUAAAAUUCAUUACGAAACAAAGAACAACUCUUAGCAACGGAUAUCUUGGUUCUC
rnacentral:misc_RNA from 1 species